rnacentral:tRNA from 1 species
UUUCUCAAACGGAGUCUCCGCGUCGGCGGUGGAGGCAUUGUUUUCGAAGAAU